ensembl:lncRNA
GGAGACCACAAGGUGGCUAGAUACAAACUAAACUGUGACCUGGGUUUCAUUGUUUCCUGAGGCGGGUGUGCAAGGCGAGAGGACACGACACACUGGCACAGGACAAGGGGAGACGCAGACUAUAAGGACACAUGAGGGAAGUGGACACAGGUGGACACGAUCAGGAAUCAGGGAAGACCAUCAGACUGGUGACACGUGAGGAAGGGCAAGGAACCUGAAACGAGAAGAGUUCAUUUCCAAAAUAAACCAGUCACAAGUCACAAAAAACAAACAGGACAAAAACCCAACUCGACAUACAGCAUCACUAAUGCACCGUCAAGUGCCGCUAACUGAGAGAAAGGAGGAAAAGAACACUGGUGUAGCAGAAAAGCAACAGGUUGCACCGCCUCCCGCAGAUGGAGAAGAAAUGCUGAGACAGGUCGUAGUGGCUGGGGGGGCCUGAGUCGCACGCAGAGCUUCCAAAAGCAGCAUCAUUACGGUCGGUAACCCACCGUUAAGCAGACCCACCCUGGGUAUCCUGCUCCUGCUGAUGGGCAACGUUGUGAAGCUGAACCAACCCAGAGACGGUGCAUGAGCCCGUCCACCAUCGCUGCACCGCAGCACACCUGAAGAAGAGCUCGUCAUUGGAAAAUGUCAAAGCCGAGAGCAGACUGAGCUUAGUCUUAAAGCAACAAGCUGAGACUCGCACUCGGGUUUCUAGUUUCACGAAAAACAUUGUUCUGGAAGCUCUAAAGUGCCAAGAUGACAGAGUUGAUGUGAAUUACAAGUCCAAACUGAAGACAAGAGGUGAUUUAACGCAUUGCCUGAGAUCCGUUGGAAUUUGACAUUCACAAUCCACUUGAAGCUUUCACCUGUGCCUGAACCUCACAUCACUCUUGUGCAAUAUUGCAGGCCCUUGAACUUGUUUCUUUAGUCUCAUGAUUCUCAGGCCUUCAGCAAUCAAGAGUUGUCAAGGAAAUUUGGGAUUGCAUAUUUUUGCAUUUUUGGUAUUGCAACUUGGACAAAACUUUUUUCAGGCAAAGAAU